AGGCCUCCGGUCGCCUGGCUCCGGCCCCACCCCGCCAUCCCCUGGCCCUGGCUGACUCGCCACCCCCGACACUGCAGCGCCUGCCGACCUCGGGGCCCCGCCCUCUGCCUUCGCUCGCGCCGCUCUCCUUCAGUCUCCCCAGGGCCUGUUUCAUGGAUAGGGUCCCCUUGCCCGCGUGAAAGUCUCAUUCCUCCUCAGCUCAGAAACACUCCAAGGUGCGGGGACUCGUGGAAGGAUUUGAUUCGCGCUUGAGAAAGAUCGCUCCGCUCCUGUAAGGAAGAGAGCGUGUAGGGGCUGCAACCAGAGACACAGUCAGAAGCUCCGAGGCUACCGCGAUGGUCCAGGUGCCACAGGACACAGCCUAACAGAGGCCCAGGUUGGAGCCAUGGACCAUGGAGUCAUGAGAAUGGAAGGGAAGCUGACGCCAUGUGGGAUGGGGUAGAACUGUCCGCAAAUUCGUCCCGCCUCUGGAGUCUUCAGACCAGUCAAGGCCGAAAUUCAACCAAGCCUCUCCUCUCUCUAGCUGUUAUUUGUUUGCAGCACGCGGUCUGGUGGCACCCUGCAGGAUUUACCAGCUUUUUGCCAACAUUCUGGCCUAUGCAAUCAAUACGUCCCUUCAGCGUUGCACUUGGAUGGAUUGGACCUAUAGUUGUUAUAUAUGGAUAUUGUCUAAUUUAUUUAUUACAGUAUUAACUGACUCCUAUGUUCUGGCCUUCAGAAUUUCUCCUUUGGAUCAAUUACUAGCCUGUCUUACAUUUUCUGCUUCAUUCUUUUAAAAUGUUUAGAGAUGAUUUGCUAAGUUUUCUUCAUUGCUGUCAAUGAUGCAAUUUAAACUGUCAAAAAAAUUUUUUCUCAAGCAGGGUAGUAAUGGUGAACCAUUCCCUUGCUAUUCAGACAGCAUGGUUUAGAUGAGGCGCACCUAUCCCCAGCUUUAGGAAUGGAAACAGGACCCAAGUCUGGCUAAUCAGAGACUGGUUUAGGGUCGGCCCCAUGGUCUGAGCCAGACCAAUGAGAAUUGGUAGAGGGACUUCCUUUUGCAACUUCUAUUUUAGAAUCGGGGGUAUAUAUGCAGGCUUGUUACAGAGGUAUAUUGCAUGGUGCUGAGGUUUGGAGUAUGAACGAAUCCGUCCUUCAGGUAAUGAGCAUAGUACCCAAUAGGUAGUUUCAACCCUUGCCCCCUUCCUCCUUCCCCAGUCUUGUAUUCCCCAGUGUCUGUUGUUCCCAGACAUUGAUCUUUUUCCUCUAUGUUGCUAAGCUGGUAGAAAGGCUGGAGUUGCUGGCAACCAUCUUUGCAACCAUGCAGGGAGAACUACUUUGGAAAUGAAGCAAGAUAAAGAAGAAAACAGAUAAAAGGAGACAAAUGUUUGACUUUGUACAGCUGGAAACCAGCAAUGCUGGAAAUGAGCACUGAAGGCAGUUUAAUGGGUUUGUCACUUGUAACCAAGUGACCCAUGGCAAGCUCACAGAUUUGUAUUGGCAGAAUUCCUCCUUUUCUUUAUUUAAAAUGGUACUUUUGGCCAGGCAAGGUGGUUCACACCUGUAAUCCAAAGACUUUGGGAGGCCGAGGCGCACUGAUCACCCAAGGUCAGAAGUUCGAGAACAGCCUGGCCAACAUUGGCGAAACCCCAUCUCUACUAAAAAUACAAACCAUUAGCUGGCUGCGGUGGCCUUUCUACCAGCUUUUUGUCUCAAAAAAAAAAAAAAAAAAGGUACUUUUGCUUAUCUCUAACCUUCCUCUUCCCCAUAAUUUAACAGUUGCCCAUACUAUCUGUUACUCUGAGCUACUCUCUGCCCCAUUCUCCUCCUCUUAUCUUCAGUUCCUCCUAGGCUGUCAGAGCCAUCUGAAAUGAAAACAUUUAGGCCGGGCAUAGUGGUUCAUGCCUGUAAUCCCAGCACUUUGGGAGGCUGAGGCAGGCGGAUCAGCUGAGGUCAGGAGUUCAAGACCACCCUGGUCAACAUGGUGAAACCCCAUCUCUACUAAAAAUACAAAAAUUAUCCAGACAUGGUGGCACAUGCCUCUACUCCCAGCUACUUGGGAGGCUGAGGCAGGAGAAUCGCUUGAACCUAGGAGGCAGGGGUUGCAGUGAGCCGAGAUUGAGCCACUGCACUCUAGCCUGGGCGACAGAGUGAGACUUUGUCUAAAAAACAUAAAUAAAAUAAAAUGAAAUGAAAACAUUUGCUACUUGAAAUCCUUCAGAUUCCCCAUCGCCUACCUACAGGCAAAACUCUCAAGUUCUUUUGUAUGAUUUAACCACUAUCUACCUGUCCAACUGAAAUCUACCCUUCAGUAAUAUUAUACUUGCACCUCCCUUCAUAAGCUAUGCUACAAGUUUGGUUAUGCAGUUGCCCACCUUUUAAGGUUCAAGCCUUGUCUUCUCCAAAGAGCCACCUCUGACUGCCUCACAGUAAGCUUAGGGCCCGCAACUUACCUGUAACUUUUGUUGCACUUAUGGCCUUUUACAACUAUCAAUUUAUGUAUGUGUCUGUUCUCACUGGUUUAUAAGCUCCCUGAGGACAGAGCCUUGCUUGAGUCAUCUGUCAGCAGCCCAAUAUGGGACAAAAAGUGCAUGCAUUGUAAUUACUGAACAGAACUGAUAGAGGCUCAGCAAUUUGCGCUCCAUAGGUCUAAGUUUGAACUUUUCUAGAAAAGGAUUUGCAGGACGAUCUGACGAAUCUUGGGCUUCCAAAUUAGUUCCAACAGUUCUAGUAUUUUUUUUUUUUUUUGACAGAAGCAAAUAAGUAAGUUUUACUUUGUGAUUAAAACAAAAGUGAAAUGCAUUUAGUCCCAGG
rnacentral:lncRNA from 1 species